CGAGCGAACAGACGAGGAGCUUGCUCCUCUGACGUUAGCGGCGGACGGGUGAGUAACACGUGGAUAACCUACCUAUAAGACUGGGAUAACUUCGGGAAACCGGAGCUAAUACCGGAUAAUAUAUUGAACCGCAUGGUUCAAUAGUGAAAGACGGUUUUGCUGUCACUUAUAGAUGGAUCCGCGCCGCAUUAGCUAGUUGGUAAGGUAACGGCUUACCAAGGCAACGAUGCGUAGCCGACCUGAGAGGGUGAUCGGCCACACUGGAACUGAGACACGGUCCAGACUCCUACGGGAGGCAGCAGUAGGGAAUCUUCCGCAAUGGGCGAAAGCCUGACGGAGCAACGCCGCGUGAGUGAUGAAGGUCUUCGGAUCGUAAAACUCUGUUAUUAGGGAAGAACAAAUGUGUAAGUAACUAUGCACGUCUUGACGGUACCUAAUCAGAAAGCCACGGCUAACUACGUGCCAGCAGCCGCGGUAAUACGUAGGUGGCAAGCGUUAUCCGGAAUUAUUGGGCGUAAAGCGCGCGUAGGCGGUUUUUUAAGUCUGAUGUGAAAGCCCACGGCUCAACCGUGGAGGGUCAUUGGAAACUGGAAAACUUGAGUGCAGAAGAGGAAAGUGGAAUUCCAUGUGUAGCGGUGAAAUGCGCAGAGAUAUGGAGGAACACCAGUGGCGAAGGCGACUUUCUGGUCUGUAACUGACGCUGAUGUGCGAAAGCGUGGGGAUCAAACAGGAUUAGAUACCCUGGUAGUCCACGCCGUAAACGAUGAGUGCUAAGUGUUAGGGGGUUUCCGCCCCUUAGUGCUGCAGCUAACGCAUUAAGCACUCCGCCUGGGGAGUACGACCGCAAGGUUGAAACUCAAAGGAAUUGACGGGGACCCGCACAAGCGGUGGAGCAUGUGGUUUAAUUCGAAGCAACGCGAAGAACCUUACCAAAUCUUGACAUCCUCUGACCCCUCUAGAGAUAGAGUUUUCCCCUUCGGGGGACAGAGUGACAGGUGGUGCAUGGUUGUCGUCAGCUCGUGUCGUGAGAUGUUGGGUUAAGUCCCGCAACGAGCGCAACCCUUAAGCUUAGUUGCCAUCAUUAAGUUGGGCACUCUAAGUUGACUGCCGGUGACAAACCGGAGGAAGGUGGGGAUGACGUCAAAUCAUCAUGCCCCUUAUGAUUUGGGCUACACACGUGCUACAAUGGACAAUACAAAGGGCAGCGAAACCGCGAGGUCAAGCAAAUCCCGUAAAGUUGUUCUCAGUUCGGAUUGUAGUCUGCAACUCGACUAUAUGAAGCUGGAAUCGCUAGUAAUCGUAGAUCAGCAUGCUACGGUGAAUACGUUCCCGGGCCU
rnacentral:rRNA from 1 species